rnacentral:lncRNA from 1 species
CAUAACAAACAUAUUAUACAUGACCCGGUAUUUAACGAUCUGAUACAGAAUGUCUCACGGUUAAAUGUCCCACCGUGUCUGUCACUCCUGAGACUGAGCUUUCUGAACUCGGGUUCCUAGAAGAUUUACAAACAUUUGCAAGAAUUCGUAAAUUUGCUUACUUUGCAAACUUGUGAAGUUGAAGGAUUUGCUUGAGACUAUCUCCUUGAUCUCGUUGUUGUUAUUGACAACCAUACACACAUCCAGGUAGCCUGGUGCCAGUCUGUUUGUGCCAUCAUGCCACUCCUUGCCACGUCAGAUAUGUUUGGCAAAUGACAAUGAGUUGACAUGAAAGCACAAACUGAUCUGGGACCAGAUAGUAUUAUUAUUUUAUUUUAUUUAACCUUUAUUUAACUAGGCAAGUCAGUUAAUAACAAAUUCUUCUUCCAAAUUAUUAGGGUUAGAGAGUCUGGUUAUUAGGGUUAGGAGUCUGGUUAUUAGGGUUAGGGUUAGGGAGUCUGGUUAUUAGGGUUAGGGUUAGGGAGUCUGGUUAUUAGGAUUAGAGAGUCUGGUUAUUAGGGUUAGGGUUAGGGAGUCUGGUUAUUAGGGUUAGGGAGUCUGGUUAUUAGGGUUAGAGAGUCUGGUUAUUAGGGUUAGGAGUCUGGUUAUUAGGGUUAGAGAGUCUGGUUAUUAGGGUUAGGAUUAGAGAGUCUGGUUAUUAGGGUUAGAGAGUCUGGUUAUUAGGGAUAGAGAGUCUGGUUAUUAGGGUUAGGAGUCUGGUUAUUAGGGUUAGAGAGUCUGGUUAUUAGGGUUAGAGAGUCUGGUUAUUAGGGUUAGGGUUAGAGAGUCUGGUUAUUAGGGUUAGAGAGUCUGGUUAUUAGGGUUAGGGAGUCUGGUUAUUAGGGUUAGAG